rnacentral:rRNA from 1 species
UACGUAGGGUGCGAGCGUUAAUCGGAAUUACUGGGCGUAAAGGGCGCGUAGGCGGCCAACUAAGUCAGACGUGAAAUCCCUCAGCUUAACUGGGGAACUGCGUGUGAUACUGGAUGGCUUGGAUUUGGGAGAGGGAUGCGGAAUUCCAGGUGUAGCGGUGAAAUGCGUAGAUAUCUGGAGGAACACCGGUGGCGAAGGCGGCAUCCUGGACCAAUAUUGACGCUGAGGCGCGAAAGCUAGGGGAGCAAACGGG